CCUACGGGUGGCUGCAGUCGAGAAUAUUCCCCAAUGGACGAAAGUCUGAGGGAGCGACGCCGCGUGCAGGAAGAAGCCUUUCGGGGUGUAAACUGCUUUUCUUAGGGAACAACCCUGAGUGUACCUAAGGAAUAAGGGGCUGCUAACUUCGUGCCAGCAGCAGCGGUAAUACGAAGGCCCCGAGCGUUAUCCGGAUUUAUUGGGCGUAAAGCGUUAAAAGGCGGCUUUGUAAGUCACUGGUUAAAUCCCAUAGCUCAACUAUGGGGCCGCUGGUGAAACUGCAUGGCUUGAGUUUGGAAGAGGCAAGCGGAACUACCGGUGUAGUGGUAAAAUGCGUUAAUAUCGGUAGGAACACCAAAGGCGAAGGCAGCUUGCUGGUACACAACUGACGCUGAAUAACGAAAGCGUGGGGAGCGAAUGGGAUUAGAUACCCUUGUAGUC
rnacentral:rRNA from 1 species